ACAUUCUCCCUCGACCGGACACUCAUCAGUCUGGCUCCUUUUUCUGAACGAUUGAGAUGGCUUCUCAGAAAAUCUUCUAUGUAGUCAAAAUGAUUUUUCUAUUUUUAUGCGUUUUGAUUUCAGUGUGUGACCUGGCUGAAGUUUCGCCUGAACAGUCAAAGACGGUGGAGUUCAACGUGAAGCCGGGAGGAGUGCUGCACACUUUCACUGAGGGAAUUAAGGAGUACGAGUGCUCAUUCACUUACGCCUCACAAGGGGGAACCAAUGAGCAAUGGCUAAUGAGUGUGGGCUUGAGUGUUGAUGACAGGCUGUUCUCUUGCUCUGUGUGGAGGCCUCAGGGGAAAUCAUACCUGUUUUUCACUCAGUUCAAAGCAGAGCUGAAGGGAGUCAAAAUUGAAUAUGCCAACGCGUUUUCACAGGCAGCAGCAGGAGGACAGAAUGACAUACCUUUGAAGCCAGAGGAAUUUACUGUAGGAGAAUCAACAGUGACCCACAACGAUGGAAAGUUCAGCGCUCAGCUCUCUAAACUGAUCAUCAUUGGACGUACACGACAUGAUGAGCUGUAAUUGGUCAGAAGUCAGGUUCACCUUUGACCACUCACAACACUUUGGGGAACUUUCUGCUCAGUAGUCAAUAAAGUAUGGAUUUCUUCUGGAGUGAUGAGCCAAAAGAAGGAUGAUGGUGAUAUUGGCUUGUGGGCACAUUGUAUGGCAGUAAUUAUCUGGUCUAUUUUUCUUUUUCUUUUUUUUUUAUUUUACCAAGAAGGAUUUAUUCUGUUUGGCAUAAAAGGGGAAAACACAACAACACAUCUGUUGAGUAUCCAGAUUUCUGUCCUAGAUAAAAUUUUGCCCUAAGAUAAAGUGCUUCUAUGGUUGUUUCUUAGUUUCUGAGGCUUUACUCCAAAUAAUUCUGUUCUGAUCCAAUGGGUAUGUAAAUUAAUGUAUAGAGGAUUGGUGUCUGGGGGCUUGCCCAGUAUAGAUGGCACAUUUAGACUAGUGGGGGAUUUAUCCAUCUCGUGUAAUCCUAAGAGGAAAGUGAGUAAUCCUCCAGUAUCAUGAUGGUGCACACAUAAACGAGUAGAAAUUCCUCAGCCUCGUUUUGAGCUGAGCUGAUGUUAAAAGCAGUGCCCCAGUGUUCGAAGAUAUAGCAAGGAUUUCACAGUUUUUUGGGGGUCUUUUUGUUUGUUUUUUUUUUUUCUUUGCAUUUUUAAUUUUAUAUCUUAGAUUAUCUCAAUUUUUAAUUGAAAAAAAAUCUUGAUUCUUCUAAUUGGGUGCAUAUAAACUUUGCUGUUUUUUUAAAAGCUUAUUUUAUAGAUUUACACCAUUAAACCCAAAAUACCGACACAUAAAAUGUCCACAGACAUUUGGCUGGUAAUACAUAAGACAAAGAAAUGCUUGCACACAUUCCCAAGACUCCCUUGAACCCUUUUGCUUUCAUCUAUCAGUGCCACAUGUGGGGAUCAGUGAGAAUAUUGUGCAGGUUUCAGAAGUGCUUCAUUAUCACUUGUCCCCCCUCCCCUCUGUGCUCUGCCUGCUCUCUUGUGUUGCGAGCAUGGCUCUUUUAUCUCUCUGACACUGAUCAAGCCCUCUAACAGCACAAAUGUCCAAGAAUUAAAUUCAGAUUUGAGGGCUUUGCUUAUAUGAUUUAGCGGUUGCAUUACUUGGGAUAUGUGUACCUUGUUUAGUCUUUGUUCAGUGUCUGCCAUCUUUCUUGAGGCGAUGAAGCUGAAGAAAUGCUCUGCAGCGUCAGUCCCCUUUGUUCCAUCAAGGCAUCAUCAGAGGUCACAAGAAGAAAUGAUCACAUCCAGAUUCUGACCUGAUCUAGAGAGAACACACACUCUGUUACUUAUUUUGUAAAAGUUUUCUUUUUCUACCUGUUGAUUUCUAUGAUUCAUGGUGAAAUGUGAUGGGUGUUUCAUUAAAGAUAUGUUGGCACUGCCA